CCCUGACCCCUUGAGGGUCCUAAAGGGCCGUUGGAGACCACAACGUUGAUAGGUGGGGUGUGUAAGCGCAGUGAUGUGUUGAGCUAACCCAUACUAAUUACCCGUGAGGCUUAACCAUACAACACCCAAGAAGUGUUCU
rnacentral:rRNA from 1 species